UGCAGUCGAACGGCAGCGCGGGGGCAACCCUGGCGGCGAGUGGCGGACGGGUGAGGAAUGCAUAGGAAUCUGCCCGGUUGUGGGGGAUAACGUAGGGAAACUUACGCUAAUACCGCAUACGACCUUCGGGUGAAAGUGGGGGACCUUCGGGCCUCACGCGAUCGGAUGAGCCUAUGCCCGAUUAGCUAGUUGGCGGGGUAAGAGCCCACCAAGGCGACGAUCGGUAGCUGGUCUGAGAGGAUGAUCAGCCACACUGGGACUGAGACACGGCCCAGACUCCUACGGGAGGCAGCAGUGGGGAAUAUUGGACAAUGGGCGCAAGCCUGAUCCAGCAAUGCCGCGUGUGUGAAGAAGGCCUUCGGGUUGUAAAGCACUUUUGUUCGGGAAGAAAUCCGUGCGGUUAAUACCCUUACGGGAUGACGGUACCGAAAGAAUAAGCACCGGCUAACUUCGUGCCAGCAGCCGCGGUAAUACGAAGGGUGCAAGCGUUAAUCGGAAUUACUGGGCGUAAAGCGUGCGUAGGCGGUUUGUUAAGUCAGAUGUGAAAGCCCCGGGCUCAACCUGGGAACUGCAUUUGAUACUGGCAGGCUAGAGUACGGUAGAGGGUGGUGGAAUUCCCGGUGUAGCGGUGAAAUGCGUAGAGAU
rnacentral:rRNA from 1 species